AACGAACGCUGGCGGCAUGCCUAACACAUGCAAGUCGAACGAGAUCUUCGGGUCUAGUGGCGCACGGGUGCGUAACGUGUGGGAAUCUGCCCUUUGGUUCGGAAUAACAGUUGGAAACGACUGCUAAUACCGGAUGAUGACGAAAGUCCAAAGAUUUAUCGCCAGAGGAUGAGCCCGCGUAGGAUUAGCUAGUUGGUGUGGUAAAGGCGCACCAAGGCGACGAUCCUUAGCUGGUCUGAGAGGAUGAUCAGCCACACUGGGACUGAGACACGGCCCAGACUCCUACGGGAGGCAGCAGUGGGGAAUAUGGGACAAUGGGCGAAAGCCUGAUCCAGCAAUGCCGCGUGAGUGAUGAAGGCCUUAGGGUUGUAAAGCUCUUUUACCCGGGAUGAUAGUGACAGUACCGGGAGAAUAAGCUCCGGCUAACUCCGUGCCAGCCGCCGCGGUAA
rnacentral:rRNA from 1 species